rnacentral:rRNA from 1 species
GAUGAACGCUAGCGGGAGGCCUAACACAUGCAAGCCGAGCGGUAUUGUUUCUUCGGAAAUGAGAGAGCGGCGUACGGGUGCGUAACACGUUUGCAACCUGCCUUUAUCUGGGGGAUAGCCUUUCGAAAGGAAGAUUAAUACUCCAUAAUAUAUUGAACGGCAUCGUUUAAUAUUGAAAGCUCCGGCGGAUAGAGAUGGGCACGCGCAAGAUUAGCUAGUUGGUGAGGUAACGGCUCACCAAGGCGAUGAUCUUUAGGGGGCCUGAGAGGGUGAUCCCCCACACUGGUACUGAGACACGGACCAGACUCCUAAGGGAGGCAGCAGUGAGGAAUAUUGGUCAAUGGGUGAAAGCCUGAACCAGCCAUCCCGCGUGAAGGACGACUGCCCUAUGGGUUGUAAACUUCUUUUGUAUAGGGAUAAACCUACCCUCGAGAGGGUAGCUGAAGGUACUAUACGAAUAAGCACCGGCUAACUCCGU